rnacentral:rRNA from 1 species
UGGGGAAUAUUGCACAAUGGGCGCAAGCCUGAUGCAGCCAUGCCGCGUGUGUGAAGAAGGCCUUCGGGUUGUAAAGCACUUUCAGCGGGGAGGAAGGCGAUAAGGUUAAUAACCUUGUCGAUUGACGUUACCCGCAGAAGAAGCACCGGCUAACUCCGUGCCAGCAGCCGCGGUAAUACGGAGGGUGCAAGCGUUAAUCGGAAUUACUGGGCGUAAAGCGCACGCAGGCGGUCUGUCAAGUCGGAUGUGAAAUCCCCGGGCUCAACCUGGGAACUGCAUUCGAAACUGGCAGGCUAGAGUCUUGUAGAGGGGUGUAGAAUUCCAGGUGUGGCGGUGAAAUGCGUAGAGAUCUGGAUGAAUACCGGUGGCGAAGGCGGCCCCCUGGACAAAGACUGACGCUCAGGUGCGAAAGCGUGGGGAGCAAACAGG